GAUGAACGCUGGCGGCGCGCCUAAUACAUGCAAGUCGAGCGAACGGACGAGAAGCUUGCUUCUCUGAUGUUAGCGGCGGACGGGUGAGUAACACGUGGAUAACCUACCUAUAAGACUGGGAUAACUUCGGGAAACCGGAGCUAAUACCGGAUAAUAUUUUGAACCGCAUGGUUCAAAAGUGAAAGACGGUCUUGCUGUCACUUAUAGAUGGAUCCGCGCUGCAUUAGCUAGUUGGUAAGGUAACGGCUUACCAAGGCAACGAUGCAUAGCCGACCUGAGAGGGUGAUCGGCCACACUGGAACUGAGACACGGUCCAGACUCCUACGGGAGGCAGCAGUAGGGAAUCUUCCGCAAUGGGCGGAAGCCUGACGGAGCAACGCCGCGUGAGUGAUGAAGGUCUUCGGAUCGUAAAACUCUGUUAUUAGGGAAGAACAUAUGUGUAAGUAACUGUGCACAUCUUGACGGUACCUAAUCAGAAAGCCACGGCUAACUACGUG
rnacentral:rRNA from 1 species